CCUACGGGAGGCUGCAGUGGGGAAUAUUGCGCAAUGGGCGAAAGCCUGACGCAGCGACGCCGCGUGAGGGAUGAAGGUCUUCGGAUCGUAAACCUCUGUCAGCAGGGAAGAAAGGUCACUGUGCUAAUCAGCAGUGAAUUGACGGUACCUGCAAAGGAAGCACCGGCUAACUCCGUGCCAGCAGCCGCGGUAAUACGGAGGGUGCGAGCGUUAAUCGGAAUUACUGGGCGUAAAGCGAGCGUAGGCGGUAUGUCAAGUCAAGGGUGAAAUCCCCGCGCUCAACGUGGGAACUGCCUUUGAAACUGGGUAGCUGGAGUGUAUGAGAGGGUAGUGGAAUUCCUGGUGUAGGAGUGAAAUGCGUAGAUAUCUGGAGGAACAUCAGUGGCGAAGGCGACUAUCUGGCACAUAACUGACGCUGAGGAGCGAAAGCGUGGGUAGCAAACAGGAUUAGAUACCCGAGUAGUC
rnacentral:rRNA from 1 species